CCGCUCCCCCGCGCCCAGAGGGGCCACCUGCGCGCAGUGACUGGGGAGGCACCCAGGAACGGGAGAAGGCCGGGGAGGGAAUCGCAGAGGGGUCCAGGGGGUCGGAGGGGUCCAAGAAGGGCUCCGGGCCCAGAGAGAUGUCCCUCAGCCCUGCCUUGGUCUCUGCUGAGUCAAGCACCCGUUCCCAGGACCAAGAGAGACAGGAUCUCCCUCUGUCACCCAGACUGGAGUGGAAUGGCGUGAUCGUGGCUCAUUACAGCCUCCAACUUCUGGGCUCAAGUGAUCCUCCCACCUCAGCCUCCAGGGUCGCUGGGACUACAGGCACAUGGCACUAUGCCCGGCUAAUUUUUUAAUUUUUCAUAGUGGUGAGUUCUUGCUAUGUUGACCAGGCUGAUCUUGAACUUCUGGGUUCAAACGAUCCUUCCACCUUGGCUUCCCAAAGGACUGGGAUUAUAGGUGUGAGCCACUGCACCAGGGUGGUGACUUACUCUUUCUAAUAUCAUAAUAAAAAAUCCUUGAUCUGGAAAAACAUUUCCUCUUCAUCCUCAGUGCUGACUGGGGCUGAGAAACCUUGGCGGGAGGCUUCCGGGGAAACUUCUGCCCAGUUGGCUCACUGCCAGUGGGCCCGUGGAAUAGCAUUUGGUCUCAAUGACAGAACUGGCUUUGGAGUUGCAAAUUUUGGGGGCGCAAGGAAGGCCUCAUCCCUGCCACGGUGCCUGCCACUCCACAGUGAAAACUUGUAAUUUCUUUAGGGCUCUGGUCUUCAGUAGUGCUGGUACCUCAAAGAGUAUCUGAGCUUGAAUCCUACUAUGGCUGUCUUUGGAUGUAGGUGUUGGCCAAAUGAGAGAAAAAGGAGGUUUGGGAACACAGUAGGGCUGAUGGGUGUUCUAGGAUACCAGGGGUGGGGGAUGGCUGGACAGAGGGAGGUGAGCACCUAGUCUCUUGGUUUCUGGCUUGUGUCUCACCAGCUAAUGAGGAAGGAGCAGGAGAGCAGGGGCUCUGGGUGGCCUGGCCUGGGGCUCCCACUCAACUCUGGGUCUUCAUCUCCACCCUCAUCCCAACCCUUGGGCUGCUCUCGGCUUCUCUGGACCAAAUGCCCUAAGAGGCUUUGACACUUUCAGGGAUGAAAGAAUGGGAUGAAGAGAGGAGAAUGAGGCUGUGGUAGUGGGAGAAGUCACCUUGAGAAGGGCCAGGGAGUAAGCCCAGAGCUGACGGCGUGGGUGGGCAUGGUCCCUCACCUAGAACUGUCUUCCCCACAGGAACCCUGAGCACUGGAAGAAAGCCCAGUCAGUGAGGCC